rnacentral:snRNA from 1 species
ACACUUACCUGGCAGGGGAGAUAUCAUCAUCACGAAGGUGGUUUCCCAGGGCAAAGCUUAUCCAUUGUACUCUAGAUGUGCUGACCCCUGCGAUUUCCCCAAAUGUGGGAAACUCGACUGCAUAAUUUGUGGUGGUGGGGGACUGCUUUCACGCUCUCCUCUA